UACGGAGGGUGCGAGCGUUAAUCGGAAUUACUGGGCGUAAAGCGCAUGUAGGUGGAAGAUUAAGUCAGAUGUGAAAGCCCGAGGCUUAACCUCGGAAUCGCAUUUGAAACUGAUUUUCUAGAGUUUUGUAGAGGGGGGUAGAAUUUCAGGUGUAGCGGUGAAAUGCGUAGAGAUCUGAAGGAAUACCAGUGGCGAAGGCGGCCCCCUGGACAGAGACUGACACUGAGAUGCGAAAGCGUGGGGAGCAAACAGG
rnacentral:rRNA from 1 species